rnacentral:rRNA from 1 species
GACGAACGCUGGCGGCGUGCCUAACACAUGCAAGUCGAACGAGGUCCAUGAGAGCUUGCUCUCGGAAGACCUAGUGGCGAACGGGUGAGUAACACGUGAGGAAUCUGCCCCGGACUCUGGGAUAACUCGAGGAAACUCGAGCUAAUACCGGAUGCCCUCCUCGGGUCGCAUGGCCUGAUGAGGAAAGUUUUUCGGUCUGGGAGGACCUCGCGGCCUAUCAGCUAGUUGGUGAGGUAACGGCUCACCAAGGCUACGACGGGUAGCUGGUUUGAGAGAAUGAUCAGCCACACUGGGACUGAGACACGGCCCAGACUCCUACGGGAGGCAGCAGUGGGGAAUCUUGCGCAAUGGGCGAAAGCCUGACGCAGCAACGCCGCGUGCGGGAUGACGGCCUUCGGGUUGUAAACCGCUUUCAGCAGGGACGAAAAUGACGGUACCUGCAGAAGAAGCUCCGGCUAACUACGUGCCAGCCGCCGCAGUAACAC